rnacentral:rRNA from 1 species
AUGAGGCCGAGCCAGAGCCGCCACCGGCUCCUGCUCGCUUUUCUGUCUGCGCUGCUUCUCACAUCCUCGGCCAUCGCCGACGGCACCUUGACGCAGCGGACGGCCAUCGGCCGCGACCAGAGGCUGGCCUCGCCGGGCGGCGUCUUCCAGCUCGGUCUCUUCUCCGUCGCCAACAACACCAAGUGGUUUCUCGGCAUAUGGCUCACCGCCUCCCCGAGCGCCGUCGUCUGGCUCGCCAACCGCGACCGCCCGCUCAACGCCUCAUCCUCCGGCGUAGUCGCGCUCAGCAGCCGAGGGGACCUCGUGCUCCUCGACGCCACCAACGAUAAUGAAACCAUCUGGUCGUCCAACUCCUCGUGGGCGGCGGUGGUGGCGCGGCUCCACGACGACGGCAACCUGGUGCUCGCGGACGCGGCCGGCGUCGUGCUGUGGCAAAGCUUCGACCACCCGACCAACACGUUCCUCUCCGGGUCGCGGGCCGGGCAAGACCUCCGGACGGGCGCCGUGUGGUCCGCCUCAUCGUGGCGCAGCGCCGACGACCCGUCGCCCGGUGACUUCCGGUACGUGAUGGACACGCGGGGCUCGCCGGAGCUGCACGUCUGGAGGAACGGACGCAAGAGGUACCGGACGGGCCCGUGGAACGGGCUGCGGUUCAGCGGCUGCCCGGACAUGACCACCUUCGAGGACCUGGUGGAGUUCCGGUUCACCCACACCGCCGACGAGGUCUCCUUCGUGUACCGCGACCGCGUCGGCUCGCCGGUGUCCCGGCUGGUCCUGAACGAGUCCGGCGCGAUGCAGCGCAUGGUCUGGGACCGCGCGGCGCUCGUGUGGAGGGUCUUCUGGUCGGGGCCGAGGGACCAGUGCGACGUCUACGGCGCGUGCGGCCCGUUCGGCGUGUGCAACGCGGUCGGCGCCGUCAUGUGCGGCUGCAUCAGGGGGUUCAUCCCGAGUUCGCCGGCGGAGUGGCGCAUGCGGAACGCGUCCGGCGGGUGCGCCCGCAGCACGGUGCUGCAGUGCAGUGGCGGCGACGGGUUCUAUACCCUGCGCGGCGUGAAACUGCCGGAGACGCACGGCAGCAGCGUGGACGCCGGCGCAUCGCUCGCGGAGUGCGGCCGGAGGUGCUCGUCCAACUGCUCCUGCACGGCGUUCGCCGCGUCGGACGUCCGUGGUGGCGGGACUGGGUGCAUACAGUGGUUCGGCGAGCUCAUGGACACGCGCUUCGUCGACGACGGCCAGGAUCUAUUCAUCAGGCUGGCAAUGUCUGACCUUCACCUAGAGACAACCAAGACCAGCAAGCUCGUCGUGAUCAUCGCCGCAGUGAUAACAGCAUUUGCAUUGCUUCUGCUAUCGCUUGGCCUCGUGAUCUGGAGAAAGAUCCGGCAGCGCAGUAAGCAAGUUAUCAAGUUUGAUGACAUGGUGAGAGGUGAGUAUCCGACGUACCAUCUCGAAACCCUUAGAGACGCCACCGACGGAUUCUGCCCCAAAAAUGAAAUAGGGCGCGGCGGCUUCGGCAUUGUUUACAAGGGUCAAAUGGUAGAUGGCCAGGAAGUCGCGGUGAAGAAGCUAUCAGCAGGAAACAGUGUGCAAGGUCUGAAGGAGUUCAAGAAUGAGGUGGACCUGAUCGCCAAGCUGCAACACCGUAACCUCGUACGCCUGCUCGGUUGCUGCAUCCACUGCUCCGAGAGGAUACUCGUCUAUGAGUACAUGAGCAAUAAGAGCUUGGACACUUUCAUUUUUGAUCCAAGGAGGCGCGCUGACUUGAGCUGGAGAACUAGGAUGGACAUCAUCUUCGGUGUUGCAAGAGGGCUUCUCUACCUUCACCAGGACUCGAGGCACACGAUGAUCCACCGAGAUCUCAAGGCAGCUAACGUUCUCCUCGAUCGGGAAAUGGUGGCCAAGAUAUCGGAUUUUGGGAUCGCCAAGUUGUUCAGCAGCAUCGGCGAUGAUCAGGUCACAGAAAGGAUUGUUGGGACAUACGGUUACAUGUCACCAGAGUACGCCAUGGACGGAAUGGUUUCGUUCAUGCAAGACGUGUACAGCUUCGGUGUGUUGUUGCUGGAGAUCAUCAGUGGGAGGAGGAACCAACGAAGUUUCAACCUCAUAGCUCACGCAUGGAUGCUAUUCGAGGAAAACAAGAGCCUCGAGCUCCUUGACCCAGCCGUGCGUGAUGGCUGCAGCCUGGCGGAGCUAGAGCAGGCGGCGACGUGCAUCCAAGUAGGUCUACUGUGCGUUCAGGAGAGCCCGAGCCAACGACCGCAAAUGGCUGCCAUAAUACCCAUGAUGUCGCACCAAAAGGCAUUGGAACGGCCACUUCGACCGGUGGUCUGCAUGCCUGUGAGCACUCUUGCGGACCUUCUCAACGUGCAGGAGGACACAUCCGGCAACGUCGAGCUGACCAUCACAAAUCUUGAAGGACGAUAG